AUUGAACGCUGGCGGCAUGCUUUACACAUGCAAGUCGAACGGCAGCACGGGGGCAACCCCUGGUGGCGAGUGGCGAACGGGUGAGUAAUAUAUCGGAACGUACCCGGAAAUGGGGGAUAACGUAGCGAAAGUUACGCUAAUACCGCAUAUGCCCUGAGGGGGAAAGCGGGGGGAUUCGCAAGAACCUCGCGUUUUCGGAGCGGCCGAUAUCGGAUUAGCUAGUAGGUGAGGUAAAGGCUCACCUAGGCGACGAUCCGUAGCUGGUCUGAGAGGACGACCAGCCACACUGGAACUGAGACACGGUCCAGACUCCUACGGGAGGCAGCAGUGGGGAAUUUUGGACAAUGGGCGCAAGCCUGAUCCAGCCAUGCCGCGUGAGUGAAGAAGGCCUUGGGUUCGUAAAGCUCUUACGCCGGGAAAAAAUCGACACA
rnacentral:rRNA from 1 species